rnacentral:rRNA from 1 species
UUGAUCCUGGCUCAGAAUCAACGCUUGGCGGCGUGCCUAACACAUGCAAUUCGAACGAGAAAGUGGAGCAAUCCAUGAGUAAAGUGGCGACCGGGUGAGUAACACGUGACUAACCUACCCUCGAGUGGGGAAUAACCUCGGGAAACCGAUGCUAAUACCGCAUAACAUCGCAAGAUCAAAGCAGAAAUGCGCUUGAGGAUGGGGUCGCGGCUGAUUAGCUAGUUGGUAGGGUAAUGGCCUACCAAGGCUUAGAUCGGUAGCCGGCCUGAGAGGGCGCACGGCCACACUGGAACUGAAACUCGGUCCAGACUCCUACGGGAGGCAGCAGUGGGGAAUUUUGCGCAAUGGGUGAAACCCUGACGCAGCAACGCCGCGUGGAGGAUGAAGUCCCUUGGGACGUAAACUCCUUUCGACCGGGAAGAUACUGACGGUACCGGAUGAAGAAGCACUGGCUAACUCUGUGCCAGCAGCCGCGGUAAUU